rnacentral:rRNA from 1 species
CGGCGAACGGGUGAGUAACACGUAAGCAACCUGCCCAAAAGACCGGGAUAACACCGGGAAACCGGUGCUAAUACUGGAUAGAUUGAGCGCUCGCAUGAGGGUUCAAGGAAAGCUUUAGGCGCUUUUGGAGGGGCUUGCGGCGCAUUAGCUAGUUGGUGGGGUAACGGCCUACCAAGGCGAUGAUGCGUAGCCGACCUGAGAGGGUGACCGGCCACACUGGGACUGAGACACGGCCCAGACUCCUACGGGAGGCAGCAGUAGGGAAUCUUCUGCAAUGGGCGCAAGCCUGACAGAGCAACGCCGCGUGAGUGAGGAAGGCCUUCGGGUCGCAGAACUCUGUUGUCGGGGAAGAAAAGGGUUUAGGACCGCUUGACGGUACCCGACGAGGAAGCCCCGGCUAACUACGUGCCAGCAGCCGCGGUAAUACGUAGGGGGCGAGCGUUGUCCGGAAUGAUUGGGCGUAAA